rnacentral:rRNA from 1 species
UACGUAGGGUGCAAGCGUUGUCCGGAUUUAUUGGGCGUAAAGAGCCCGCAGGCGGCCUGGCUAGUCUCAGGUGAAAUCUCCCGGCUCAACUGGGAGAGGUCCUGGGAAACUGCCAGGCUUGAGGCAGGGAGAGGGAUGUGGAAUUCCCGGUGUAGUAGUGAAAUGCGUAGAUAUCGGGAGGAACACCAGUGGCGAAGGCGGCAUCCUGGCCCUGUCCUGACGCUCAGGGGCGAAAGCGUGGGGAGCAAAC